UGGGGAAUAUUGGACAAUGGGCGAAAGCCUGAUCCAGCCAUGCCGCGUGUGUGAAGAAGGUCUUCGGAUUGUAAAGCACUUUAAGUUGGGAGGAAGGGCAGUUACCUAAUACGUAAUUGUUUUGACGUUACCGACAGAAUAAGCACCGGCCAACUCUGUG
rnacentral:rRNA from 1 species